rnacentral:rRNA from 1 species
UACGUAGGGGGCGAGCGUUUGUCCGGAAGUUACUGGGCGUAAAGCGCGCGUAAGGCGGCCCGGCGCAUCUAUAAGUGAAAGCCCUCGGCUCAACCUGAGGGAGGCCUAUGGGAGAUGACCGGGCUGGAGGGUCGCAGAGGCAAGCGGGAAGUCCCGAAAGUAGUGGUGAAAUGCGUAGAGAUGGGAGGAACACCCGAGGCGAAGGCGGGCUUGCUGGGCGGCACCUG